rnacentral:rRNA from 1 species
GACGAACGCUGGCGGCGUGCUUAACACAUGCAAGUCGAACGGAAAGGCCCUGCUUUUGUGGGGUGCUCGAGUGGCGAACGGGUGAGUAACACGUGAAUAACCUGCCCUUGACUUUGGGAUAACUUCAGGAAACUGGGGCUAAUACCGGAUAGGAGCUCCUGCUGCAUGGUGGGGGUUGGAAAGUUUCGGCGGUUGGGGAUGGACUCGCGGCUUAUCAGCUUGUUGGGGGGGUAGUGGCUUACCAAGGCUUUGACGGGUAGCCGGCCUGAGAGGGUGACCGGCCACAUUGGGACUGAGAUACGGCCCAGACUCCUACGGGAGGCAGCAGUGGGGAAUAGUGCACAAUGGGCGGAAGCCUGAUGCAGCAACGCCGCGUGCGGGAUGACGGCCUUCGGGUUGUAAACCGCUUUCGCCUGUGACGAAGCGUGAGUGACGGUAAUGGGUAAAGAAGCACCGGCUAACUACGUG